GCUCCUACGGGAGUAUCGAGCUCGGCUCGACUCUCCCACCCUUUGUGAACGUACCUCUGUUGCUUUGGCGGCUCCGGCCGCCAAAGGACCUUCAAACUCCAGUCAGUAAACGCAGACGUCUGAUAAACAAGUUAAUAAACUAAAACUUUCAACAACGGAUCUCUUGGUUCUGGCAUCGAUGAAGAACGCAGCGAAAUGCGAUAAGUAAUGUGAAUUGCAGAAUUCAGUGAAUCAUCGAAUCUUUGAACGCACAUUGCGCCCCUUGGUAUUCCGGGGGGCAUGCCUGUUCGAGCGUCAUUACAACCCUCAAGCUCUGCUUGGAAUUGGGCACCGUCCUCACUGCGGACGCGCCUCAAAGACCUCGGCGGUGGCUGUUCAGCCCUCAAGCGUAGUAGAAUACACCUCGCUUUGGAGCGGUUGGCGUCGCCCGCCGGACGAACCUUCUGAACUUUUCUCAAGGUUGACCUCGGAUCAGGUAGGGAUACCCGCUGAACUUAAGCAUAUCAAAAGGCGGAGG
rnacentral:rRNA from 1 species